UACGUAGGGGGCAAGCGUUGUCCGGAAUCAUUGGGCGUAAAGAGCGUGUAGGCGGUUCAGUAAGUCUGCUGUGAAAGUCCAGGGCUCAACCCUGGGAUGCCGGUGGAUACUGCCGGACUAGAGUUCGGAAGAGGCGAGUGGAAUUCCCGGUGUAGCGGUGAAAUGCGCAGAUAUCGGGAGGAACACCUAUGGCGAAGGCAGCUCGCUGGGACGUUACUGACGCUGAGACGCGAAAGCGUGGGGAGCAAACAGG
rnacentral:rRNA from 1 species